UUGAUGUCACAGGACUCUUCUGACUAGCGGAAACAUUGUGUGCCCAGAGCUUGUACUGCGUGGUGACAGCCCGACGGCUACAGAGGGACGCAGUGAGUUAACUGAGUAGGUCCAAUGUCGAGGAGCUAGAAGACCAGGCAGUGUUCACACUAGGUCAGCUGUUCAACACGCAUCCGUUCCCCAGGGGUGGCGGCAGAUGGUCAAGAGCGAGAAACAGUCCUUCCCUCAAGGAGUUCGUGGUCUCCUUGGAAAGACGAGACUAACACAAGCGGGGAAGCGAAAGGGUAAUGGAACGCAGCCAACGAACAAGUGCAGAGUGACGGGCCGUGUGCAGACCAUCACGGAGGAAAGGAAACGAGCCCCUUCGGACAGAAGGCGGCACACGGGCUCUGAGGGACGGAAGCAGAGCAUACGGAUGGAGGAGGGGGUCCUGCCAGUGAGAGCGCGGGAGAAUCGAGGACGCAGAGAAAUCGUAGAGAGGAAGGAAGGAAGGAGGAAACUUUGGCAAAAACGUGUCCCCACCUUCCGAAGGAGAAGCCACAGAUGAAACCGCCAGUUACACCAGAACAAACGACGUGCUGAUGCCUGAAGUUGCUCCCGACUCUGCCACCCGAGAUGGCUCCGUUGCAUCAACGGCAGAAUGAUGAAAGCGUCUGAGACCGGGAGCUCCGCGAAGGAGGAGAGCCUGUGUGUCCACGCGUCUGUGGAACGCUCCACAGCCAGCUGAACUCCUGGCACAGACACGGUACCUACUGCGCAAGUGUAUAAAACUAAAGUAUAGUUUUAUUAUCGCUACAGCACUCAGUGACAUCGCCUGUGGCCCUUUAAAAUAAUUAAUAAACCUCUGAUCGUGCUCAUUUCCAAACCUCGGGAUGACCGGAAGACAGAGAUCUUGCCACUGCGCCGUGUACCCGCACGUCUAAUGGAGCAGAAGCGGGACUUCAGAGAUGGCCCCCAGCGCUCUCCUGGCCCCUCCAAGGCUGGACCACCUCCCUGGAUGGGAGCUCGAGGACCAUGUCAGCGCCACGGAGUUCACCUCCUCCAGCUACAGCUUCCGACCCACUUCCACUGCCAGCCCUCACCCCUCCACGGCUCCCCCUGCACUAUCCAGGCACUUCUAACAAGCGUAAUUCGGGGAGGGAGAGAACAUUUACGAAAAAGCAUGAAGACUUACACUGACAACGUCUGACGACUUAACUUCUUCUUGAAGUGAAAAAAUGAUAAAGAAGCCUCCUGUCCUCUUUCUCUGUUGGUCCAUCGGAGGGUUUUCUAGAGCUUUGGGACCCGUCACCAUUGUCAACGGCCCCUUCUGAAAUCUGUAUGGACCUGCUGUCGCUGGGCUCCAUCUUCGUAAGUGAAGGAAAUCAGAGCUGUCUCUCUACCUCAAUUUGUAGGAUGUGGCAUUCUGCCUUCCCCAUAUCAGCAGGAGGCAAAACUUGCCAUUCAGGGUUGGAAACCAUCCCUGACCCCUGACCCAAGGAAAGCACAGGGCCUGGAACUCUGGCGUUUGGGUCUGGAAAGGUUACUGACCUCUGGCCCGGAAAGCAGUCAGCGGCCGCAACCACUGCUGGAGUCAGUGAUUACGGCAGAUUCCUACCAUGCCUCUCUUCUGCGAGCCGAGAUCGUCUCUGAUACAGCUAGGAAGAUAAUACGGACGGCUAGCAAAAAUGAGAAUGCAAUCUUUAUAUCCAAAAAUCCUUUAAAUAAUCUAGAUACAAAAAUCAUACAAUAGGAUUCUGCUUAGAUGAAGUAUGUAGAAUAGUCAAACCCACAGACACGAAGGAAAAUGGUGGUCGCCGGGGAGGUAAACAGGGCACACGGGGCUGUUGUGUAAUGCGUACAAAGUGUCCGUUUGGAGCCGUAAAAAAUCCUAGAGGCGGAUGGUGGCUGUGCUGCACAGCAGUGGGAAUGGACUUCACAAGUCACUGAUCUGUACACAUAAAAAAUGACUCAAAUGGUAAGUUUUAUGUUAUAUAUAUUUUACUCCAUUAUUUUUUUAAACAGGAGGCUUUGUAGGGCUUGGCCUGGGCAUUUUAAUAUCUGUUCAGUCCUUUCCCACAUUUUCUGGUCAGCAGUUCCUAAGGUUAAAACAAACAAACAAGAAGUUUGUGAGACUUUUCCGCUUGAGCGAUUUCCUUUGUCCUAUCUCUACUACCCCUCAAUAUGGGGCCUUUAACAUGAUUAUUUCCUUGUCAAUUGGACUAUGUUACCCGUCCAAAUAACCCCAAAAUUCAGUAGUUAAAAAUAACAAAAGAUUAUUUCGUGUUCUCUCUACAUAUCCAAAGUGGGUCCAUAAGAAGCUUUGAUCAGGGACCAGGAUUGCUGGAGUAACCCCUACCCAGCUAGAAGGAAGCUGAACACUGCAAAGCACUCUCUGGCUUUAGAGUUUCUGCUCCCUCCACGCACACCGGGCUGGCCGACGCAGUCAUAAGUUCACACCUAGUUCAAGCAAACGGUGGGGCAACUGCAUUCCCACCAUGGGCCUGCAGGGCAAGCCCUCGUGCACCCUACAAGGUCCUUCUGACCCCUGUAGCCUCUCUCUAGGUUUUACAAAAUCUUUGCAUUAUUUCCAAAAUUCAGGUUAGUGAUAAUUUAUAUUAUAGCAUAAUCUACGUAAUUAUCCACAUAUCAUUAUAUACAUUAUGAUCUAUAUUAUAAUCAGAAGGAAACAAAAGCUGGUCUCCCCAUCAAAAGACAUCUCCAGCAUGCCUCCACACGCUUCCUUCCUACAGUUCAAGGACAGCCAACGAAGGAGCAGGAACCUCACCUCUUUCCAUCGCCUUUACAGCCCUGUUCUAACCUUGAGCCCCGGAGUUAGAGGAGCCCGGCAGCCUAAAAAGACAUGCUGCUACCUGCUUUAUUUGAGGAGGGAAAAAAAAUGUUCAUCUUGGCAUCAGAGGAAUAAAAACUCCCAAAGGAAAUAAACUGAUCUUUAAGAUUUAUUUAUUCUAGGCUUUCUGACCUCGGAAGACUCUGAGAAGGUCGAAACAGAUUUUAGAUGUGCCGGAGGUUCCGUCAAUUCGCACAGACACCUUCAUCCUCCAACACGGUGGAUUCAAGGGCGACUCCCAGGCACGAGUCCCCGAACAUUCGAUAACGGCCGGAUGAACACCCUGUCCGAGAAGAGCCAUCCUGCCCAGCCCUCAGAAGACAGCAGCCAGCUCGGGGGUCCGUCCGAGCCAUUCACUCAGCCUGCACCAGAAUGAGAGGAUUCCGCGGAGGCCGGACAACACGUUAAUGCGCAGGACAGACGUCAGCAGGGGCAGGCAGGUGGGGACCCCUGCGGUACCCACAUUAGAUCGACUAACAGAGCCUUCACCGGCUAUCCUUUUGUCCGCACAUUUUGCCUCUCUGCGGUCACGCAGUCCACGUUGGGAAGCUCAGGUCUCCUCGUGCCUCGUAUCUUCACUCAAUAAAUCCACGUAUUGGUGCAGAGGGAAACCCUGGGCCGGCUCUGUUUUGUCUUACUUGUUAAUGAUAGCUUUGGGAAGACUUUCAAGUAUUUCUGGCAGAUUGAGCAAGAUGUUAUCACAACCAUCAGCGAAAACAGAAGAGGAACAGCAUGAACUAUAAAAUGCAGUUUCGAUGUUGACAAAAUACCAGCACCAAUGGCGUAAGCCGGCACACAAGCAUGUUCAUUAACUACUUAUUUCAUUUUUAUUGUCGCUUCCUUCUUGUGAUCCAUCAGAUCGCAUAGAGAAACGUCUCAAUCCCCAGCGGUAAAGUCCGCUGUUGUCUGAAGUUCCCAUAUGCACUGGCAAACUCUUAGAGAAAGACGCGUUUUUAUAUCGAUCAACAACAAACUUACCCAUCCCUACAAUUACUAGGAUUCAGAUUCUAGGAAGGGAUAAACCAAGGCACUGAGAGACAAGCACUGAAUUGUUUUAUCCUGGAAGUCUAUAAACCAAGGGCAGUAACUCUGAUAAAACCGUGGGUUUUGAAGUCACGGAUCUAGAUCUAAAUCCUCGCUGUCAUUUACUAGACGCAAGAUAAUGACCAUGUCAUAAGGCACAUUAAGUCUCAGUUUCUUCUCCCAUAAAAGAGGAAAACAGUGUCUCCUUCCUGGGAGCCUGUGGAUGAAAUGAGACGCAUAAUCCGCACUGAGCCCCUAGCGGAACGCCUGGGCCAGAGCCGCGCUCAGCAGAGGUGGCGCGUCAUCGCUGACCGUGUUCCAUAAAACUGUGAGGAGCGGCAUUCCUUGACUAAAAUCUAGUCAUGCCUUGAAAGUUCCCUGAGUGUCCAAGACGCAGAAAGACAACCCAAAUCUGACUGACAUUCACUUCUCCAGCCCCCAGGGGCAUCAUUUUCUGGCUUCACAGUCUGUUCACCUGGAAAUUGGGGGUGAUGGACCUAGACAACCUGGCUUCGGUGUCUGUCCCGAUGUGCACUGGAAGCAGCGGUUCUGUCUGUAGAGAUUAUCCCGUUGCUUGCACUGCAGGGAGAAGUGGGCACGUUGCUAACAAAGCCGUCCCUUUGCACUCCGGGCUUCCUGAGAUCUCUCAGUGUUUCGGAGCGCGGGACCAUAACACCCCGUGAUGUCAAUGCAAUAGCGACAAGAAUGAAAUUUAGAAGAGAUGGGGGGGGGGUUCCUGUGGCCUCCGCGACUGACUCGUAGCUUUUGCUCCUGCUGGUUUGUAAACAGAAAGACCUGCAUUUAGAUAUUUACUAGUUAUAUUCUCCUUCUUACGACGAAUGGCGUCACCAUCACACGUCUCUAGCCUUGUAGCCCAGGGGAUGCUCUGAAGCUUCUCAUUAGGAAGUUACUCCCCACGUGGGGUGCUCAGUCUUGUCUGCAAACGAGAACCAUCUGGAGAGCUUCCACAGGUUCUGAUGCACAAGCCACACCCAGACCAACAGAAGCCUCUUCCCCACACAUCCCGGCGUUUUAGGUCUGCCCGGGCCAGGCUGAGAGCCUUGGUCAGACUCCACGCCGUGUGCACGCCCACACCGAACCUGAUGUCACGAAAACAAAGAAGUAAGCCCAAACACCGAGCUGUCAUCAGCGAACGCUGCACGUUGACCUGACACGCCAACAAGUCCACGCUGCGGGCAGACCGGUGUGCACGUCCGAUUGCACGCAGGCGCGGAUACACACGUGUGUGCAAACACACAUGCACUUGCACACGCCCAUGAACUCACACAAGCACACGCACAACCUCUGCCUGCCUCGCUCGGCUGUGCCGUCCCGUGGGAGAGGCACCUCUGCCAUCGCUCCUCUCAGGAGUUUACCGUCUGCCGCCGCCUCACACCCUCCGCGGAUGGGGUAGGACAGUAACUCCUCACAGAACUCCUCGUAAGCUUUGAGAUCCAGAGAAACAGGGGGAGGGGCGGCAUACCAGCAGCCGGGUCCCCAAGUCGCCACCAGAGCAGAGGACAUCGGAAGGAGGGAUAACUUCUUCCUUGUUUGUUACUGGGAAGACUUCAAAUAAGCAGCGACCAGCAUCUCAUGAAACGGAGAAGAGAAACUUGAACCCAAACUUGUAUUUUGAGGACUUCAACUUAAUAAGGGUUUGGAGUGUUGGGGCGCCUGGGUGGCUCAGAGGGUUGAGGCUCUGCAUUUGGUUUGGGUCAUGGUCUCAGGAUC